CAGCAGCUAUUGUACCAGUGUUGAGGUUUAUAUCAGUUUUGGCAUAUCCAGGGCAAACAGAGUUGAUGCAGAAAUCUGGGUACUUGCUUGCCAGAAUCCUUGUAUAAGCAUUCAAUGCUACUUUUGAGACAGUAUAGGCAGAGAUGAAGGAACUCGGGAUUCUACCUUCAGCAUGACUAUAGAGGAGGAAACGUUUACAAUCCUUGGUAAGUCGGAUAGUUGCAGCAAUGGAAUAAGUGCUUCGGCAGUUCUUUUAGCGCCAUUGUAGUUUGUUUUUAGGCAUUCUUCGGCUAACUCGUAAUUGUCAUCAGUCGCUUUACUCCAUAUAUCACGCGAAUUUACCUACAUUUGUAACAAGCUAUCAUGACACAAUCCCAUCCAACUACGUCUUUAUUGUUUCUUCGAGUACCUAUAAAUCUAUCAAAGUUUUACCACUCUCAUAUGUACGAAGACGGGUUUUUACCACCCUCAUAUGCACGAAGACGGGUUUGAUUCCACUCCA